GGCUUUGCAGCUGUUUUUAGGGCCGCCGUAGAUAGAGGGAUUGUGGAUUUUUUUUUAAUUUAAUCUUAAAUGUAUGUUUGCAGUAUUUAUUUAAAUUAGUUUUUAAUAGUGAAUCAAUUUAAGAUGCAAGUGGGUGAUGCUGAAUUCAGAGAAGUAGAAAAACAUAAAAUUAGUCCUAAAAUUGUAACUUCUACUAUUCCCGCCCAUUCGGUAUUUAUAUUUUUAUUAACAGUUGUAUUAACUGCUUUGGUAGUCGAAUUAUUGCCUCCGAAUUGCACUUAUUGGGAUUGGGCCACAAAUGAAUUCAUUUUGCCAGAGUCCGUGCCUACUUAUGCAGUAUAUGGAAAAAGUCCUAAUGAAGAACAUUUAUUACACGUGGCGAAGGUGCUGCAAAGGCUCGGUUAUAAACGUAUUGCAUUACAGAAUGAAUGGGAUCUCCUAUGGGCUCACGACUAUCCAUUUUUUAAAAUGACCAAUCGAUUAAAAGAUUUAACCAAUCAGCAAAUAGUUAAUCACGUUCCCGGUUGUGGAUUCAUUACCAACAAGGUCGACUUGUCCACCACUGAAUUAACCUUUCUACCAAAAGCAUUUCGUUUGCCUAGCCAAAGGGAAGAUUUUUUAAAUUACGCUCAAAGGAGUCCGAAUGCUUUAUUUGUACAAAAACAUAACGAGCAUCGCCAUAUUCUAAUACGUCCUGUAAAGGAUAUUAAUUUACAGUCAAACGAUACUUUUGUGCAAGAAUUCAUACAAAAGCCAUUUUUAGUUGAUGGUUAUAAAUUUGAUAUUGGCGUUUACGUAAUAGUUACCGGAAUUGAUCCUUUACGUUUAUAUAUCUACACUGGAGAUGUAUUGUUUCGUUAUUGUUCCGUGAAAUAUUAUCCGUUUAACGCCUCGAAUAUUGAUAGUUAUGUAGUAGGUGAUGAUUAUUUACCUACAUGGCAAGUACCUUCGUUGGUCAAAUAUUAUGAACACCUGGACGGUAAUAUGCGCGAUAGUUUCGAUGCGUAUGUACGCGAUCAGUAUUCGGAUCCUUCAAUAAUUUGGUUACAAGUCGAAGGUAUAAUACGUGAAACGGUUUUGGCUAAAGAACAACAAAUUGCUGGUAUAUUGCGUUCUUACAAAAAUUUAAACUUCUUUGAGCUGAUGCGAUUUGAUUUCAUUAUCGAUGAAGAUCUUCGUGUAUAUUUAAUGGAAGCCAAUAUGUCACCGAACCUGUCGUCAGGCCAUUUCAAACCAAACGCUUUACUUUAUGAACAGAUUCUCUAUAGUGCCUUCAGUUUAGUGGGGGUCAGCUCGCUAGUGAGAGGAACGCUUAGUGAAAGCUUUGUCCAUUUGGUAACUCUCUUUCGGCUGCGUUAUGUAAAUCGAAAAGGUGUCGCCUUACCUACUAGUUCCGAAGCUACCAAACGAGCUAAACGCGAAAAUUUGGAAUUGAAGCAAAUAUUGGUGCCUGAACUGUGUACAGUACAUCCAUUUCCGGCCUCUUUAUGGCGUACGGCAGUUUGUUUGCCAUGUAUUUUGUACCGUAUUAACGGAUUAUUGCUUGCUGACAAUAUACGUAAGAAAGUCGUAGCCGACAUUGGUUUAGGGCAACCGGAAUUACCGGAAGACCAGGAUUCGCCUAUGCUCGAUUUCGGUUGGAGCUUAAGUGACGUUUUGGAAAAAUCGAAAAUUAACGAAUCUGCAAAAACCAAGCAGGAAGAUAGUCUCGAUCAAAUUAUAAAAGAUUGCGGGAAGAAAGUACAUGCCUUUACUUUAAACGGAGAGGAGAGUGAAAUAAAAAUUGAAAGCAAAACCAUAAAUGAGAUUGUAGAAGACGCGGGACUUAAAUUGAAAGAAGAAUGCGGAGCAUUUAUUGAAAUUGGCACUUGGUCUAAUGAUAUGGCCAAUUAUGCGAUUAAGGAUGAUGAUACCGACAGCGACUAUGAUGAUCUCUUAGACGGUAUUAUACCGCCAUUUAUAAAAUUUCGUAAGUUUGUUGCUUUUAUAAUAGUUGGGUGCAUAAAGCAAGUAUUCGUUCUCAACCUCCUUGAUCUGGAAAGCCAAUAAGAGCCACAUCACCCACCUUUACUGACAUACAACUUGAUGAAGAAUACGAGGAACAAGAAACCUUAGGCAACGGAGAAGAAAAGAAGAUCCGCUGUUGUCAUAUGAUUCUGAUAAUUCUUUUGCAGAAUUUAGCUUGCCAAGCGAUGCGUCUCUUAUUUUGUCGGUCGGUAUUACAAGUUGCUCCGUUGAGAGAAAAUGGAUGAUGAGGCGCUGUCGUCGACAAAUGAGUAAAUAGCGCUUCCACGUGCAUCUUUAAAGAUAUGCGAUAUUUUUGCUGCGCAAAUUGUGUCUGGUGUGAAGCAAUAAAUUUGUGAACACAAAUUGUAAAUCAGCAAUUAGGAUUUUCACCAGAGCGAUAUCUCCGUAGCUGACUAGAUGGCCGGCUAGCUGACCAGCUGACUGGUUGCUUGACUAGUGCUUAGCGGUGGAUGGUGCUUCCAGUAAAUAAACAAACAUACCACCAAUAAAACACAAAACAUUAUAUACGUAUUGUAAGGUACUUACAAUUCCAUACAACACACGUGGAUAAGUACAUUUGCACAUAUGCUCAGCGAUGUAUAUGGACGCAAUUAUAUAUGCAAUUUAUCAACCGCGCAAAUUCGUUUCGGUUUAUUGCUUUGAAUUCUUAACAUAAACUAUUAUUUCCUGAAUUUCGUCGGUCGGCUGAUUUAGCCUGAUCUGAGUACUACUGUGAUUGAGAUUUAUUGAUGGAGUGCAUGAGGUAUGCCUACGGCUUUUGGAAAAAUCUAUUUAACAACAGAUUUUUUUAGUUGAAAUUGUUAGUAUGGACAUUUUUAAUUGGUAGCAAUCAGGAUUUUGGCUUUUUGCAUAUUUCGAAUGUCAAAUAAACAAAAUAACUACGAAGAAAAAGUAGGAAUAGUGAAAAAAAUAAAAUAAAAUAAAGAAGCCUAACUGUCGCCACUUCACUUAUAUACAUACAUACAAAAGUGAACAAUUUCAAUUUUCACCGCACAAUAAUGACGAAUACGAUUUGCAAAUCGUCCCUUAAGUUAAAUUUACGCUACGAGAU